rnacentral:sRNA from 12 species
GAAACGCGAAUCAAGCAGACGUGGAAACGUCGUGAGACUUGGAGCUGGCCUUGGUAACAAGGCCAUGCG